CAGCAACCCCGCCCCAGCCCCCGGCGGCGCGAGGCCAAGGCGGACGAAGCGCCCUGCGGCCCGGGAAAGGCCUUGCUGCCUGGAGGCUAGUUUACUAGAGCACGAGAAACAGCAGCCCGACUCUCGGUUUGGUCCAGCAACAAGAGGAGACUCUGCCUGUGCCAGUGUCAGGGCCUGAGGUGUCCAGUGGCCCCCACAUUCUCCGAGGAGAGGUCAGGGAUGCUGUGGCUGAAAUCGGCGCUGUGGCGGGUGGGCGGCGGGGCCCAGAGUCUUUGUCUAAAUCUCCAGGCGAGGAACAUGCACCACAUGGAGGGGUGAGGGGACGCUCUUGGUAGUGGGGGUGUCAGCCCGAGGAGCCCCCACCCCAUGCACUGGCCCUGCUUCUCUUCUCUUCUGGGAGCUCCAGGCUUACUGGGAAGCCCUCAGGGCAGCUUCUGACCCAGAUGGCCCUUGGCCCUGCACCCGUCCUCAGCAUGGCUGAAGAGCUGAAGGAGAGAGGUUUCCAUCCCCAGCUGCCUUCUCUGCAGGGCUGGGCCAGGCCUGUGGCCCUGAGGGCAGAGGAGCUGGCGAGCCACAUUCAGGGAGGCCAAGCCUGACAUGUCCCCUAGGAAGGACUCCUCGCGGACUGCCUCUUUUCUGCCUGCUGCCCCCACCUUCCCCACUCCCCCACUUCCCCUCCCCCCACCAGCACCAGGCAGUGUGUCCUUCAAGGAAGGCCAGUGUGAUCCCCCGCCAUCUGUGCAGCCUGUGUCCUGCCCAGGCUUCUCCCAGUGGCCUUCAGCACAAUCACACACAGGCCAGGGAGGCAGGACAGGGUGCUGGGGCCCCUGUGGCCUGAGGGCAUGUGAUCCUUCGGAAAACCUGGCAGCAAGGAGCAGCUGGGUUAGAGUGAGGGCGGUGCUGGGGAGGGAAGCUCCAUGUGGGGAAGGGCAUAACCCGAGCUCACACAGGCUCCCGAGGGUGGCCCCCCACCCUUGGGGCCCACUGCAGGCGGCAAGGACAAGCUGGACUGGCCCAGAGCCCAGCAGCCCUAGCCUUUGCUUCAGCCAGGAGGCCCAAACAUCCAGCCCCAACAAUAGGCCACAUCUGAGGUCAAAGCUUGGGUCCAGCAGCCCUCAUAAGGGCUCCCUGGGAGGAGCAGUGGGCAAAAAGGGAUGGGGGCAGGAGGCGAGGCCAGGGGUCCUCAGGGCAGCAGGGAGCCGAGGGAGCUGAAGAAGGCAGAAUGCCAGAUGGUGAGGGCCGGCAGCUGAAGUCCUUGGCACCUGCCCAGGGGUGGGCUGGUCUGCCCCAGAGGGGCCCUCCUGGCCCCACUUGACCUGAGGACAGCUGGCAGGGCUCCCAUGCUUACGUGGCAUCCAUGGGGCCUGGGCAGGGACCCGAGAGGUCAGGUCUGGAUGUGCCCCCAGCUCAGCUGCAGGGGCCUGGGGCCAGUUGGAGUUGGACAGGAGCCCUCGCCAGCCCGGCACAGGCUGUGGCUCCUGGUGAGGUCAGCAUCCCACCGUCUGGUCCUGCCUACCUUCCCCUGGACAGACACUGUCCUGGUGUGUGAAGCCCUCACAGAGGCCAUGUUUCCGGUGGCAGGGGAGGGGGACAGGGCCUGGAGCAGGACAGCUGGAUGGAAGGGGCCUCCCCCAGCAUGCAGGGUCCUCACAGACCCCAAUCAUCCUAAUAAAAAAGUACUUUUUUCCCUCUUGAAAAAGGUUCUAGUUAUGAUACUAAGAUUUUAUGUAAAAAGUGAACAAAGCUCAGCUUUUCGGUCAUCCUCUGUCGGUUUUCCACAUCUAAAACCCAUGCCCUGACCCACCCAGACUUGAAGACAGGUUCCUUCAAGGCUCUAGCUCGGGUUCUGCCGAGGGAGGAGGCAACCACUGCCACCCCAGAAAAGGCUCUGGCUGGAGUCUGCCACUCAGUUUGUUUGGGACUGUUCAGCCUGUUCCCAGAUCCAGUGGUGGCCCCCCAAAAAUACAUCCACCUGGAACAUCA